GAUGAACGCUGGCGGCGUGCCUAAUACAUGCAAGUCGAGCGAACGUACGAGAAGCUUGCUUCUCUGAUGUUAGCGGCGGACGGGUGAGUAACACGUGGAUAACCUACCUAUAAGACUGGGAUAACUUCGGGAAACCGGAGCUAAUACCGGAUAAUAUUUUGAACCGCAUGGUUCAAAAGUGAAAGACGGUCUUGCUGUCACUUAUAGAUGGAUCCGCGCUGCAUUAGCUAGUUGGUAAGGUAACGGCUUACCAAGGCAACGAUGGAUAGCCGACCUGAGAGGGUGAUCGGCCACACUGGAACUGAGACACGGUCCAGGCUCCUACGGGAGGCAGAAGUAGGGAAUCUUCCGCAAAGGGCGAAAGCCUGAAGGAGCAACGCCGCGUGAGUGAUGAAGGUCUUCGGAUCGUAAAAAUCUGUUAUUAGGGAAGAACAUAUGUGUAAGUAACUGUGCACAUCUUGACGGUACCUAAUCAGAAAGCCACGGCUAACUACGUG
rnacentral:rRNA from 1 species